AUGAAUAAAAAUUUCGCACCUACUAAAACAUAGCGGCAAAUGCAUAUUUUCUCCAACUAAUCAAGUGCAAAAGUGGGGGCAAAGUUUGCCCCUGACCCACCUUGAUGCCAUGCCUAAUUGAAGUAUCGAUUCUAAAAUAUUUAUAUGAGAGAGAGAGAGAGGGUUAUGAAAUUUUUAUUUUUGAAAAGAGAAAUGAAAAAGUUAAAGGUGCUUUGCUUGUGGGGUGGGAGAGAAUUUCUUUAUAGAGAGAUGAGAAGAAGGCAUCACUGUCUAUAAAUAACAAUUCAGUUUUUUUGGAUGAAGAAAUAGUAACAGUUUAAAUUGCAUAGAAUUAAGUAAUAAACUUUUGACUCCAGGAAGAGUUUUAAUGCACAUUGCGGUUUUAUCUGACCAAUUCAUUAAUUUUUCUAGUAGUGUGGAGAGAAUAUCUGAUUCACAUAAAGAAAAUUUUGUUGAUUAAUUUUAAAGCAUAG
rnacentral:lncRNA from 1 species